UAGCUUAUAACUCAAUUGGUAGAGUGUCAUCUUGAUAAGGUGAACGUUAAAGGUUCGAAUCCUUUUAAGCUAA
rnacentral:tRNA from 1 species